UGCAGUCGGGGGAUCCCGCAAGGGGGAACCGGCGUAAGGGGCAGUAAGGCAUGGGUACCUACCCGGGGGUUCGGGAUAGCCAUCAGAGGUGGUGGGUAAUACCGGAUGACCUCGUGAGAGCAAAGAUUCAUCGCCCCCGGAGGGGCCCAUGUGAUAUUAGCUAGUUGGUGGGGUAACGGCCCACCAAGGCGAAGAUGUCUAGCGGGUGUGAGAGCACGACCCGCGCCACUCGCGCUGAGACACUGGCGAGACACCUACGGGUGGCUGCAGUCGAGGAUCUUCGGCAAUGGGGGCAACCCUGACCGAACGAUGCCGCGUGCGCGAUGAAGGCCUUCGGGUUGUAAAGCGCUUUAGUGGGGGAGAAAAGCCGCAAGGUGUGAUCUAUCCCAAAAAUAAGCUCGGGCUAAGUUCGGGCCAGCAGCCGCGGUAAGACGAACCGAGCGAACGUUGUUCGGAAUCACUGGGCUUAAAGGGCGCGUAGGCGGGCUAUCAAGUCUGGGGUGAAAUGCCGCGGCUCAACCGUGGAACUGCCUCAGAUACUGACGGCCUCGAGGGAGGUAGGGGCAUGCGGAACUGUAGGUGGAGCGGUGAAAUGCGUUGAUAUCUACAGGAACUCCGGUGGCGAAAGCGGCGUGCUGGACCUCUUCUGACGCUGAGCGCGAAAGCUAGGGGAGCAAACGGGAUUAGAUACCCCGGUAGU
rnacentral:rRNA from 1 species